rnacentral:rRNA from 1 species
AGCGAACGCUGGCGGCAGGCUUAACACAUGCAAGUCGAGCGGGCACUUUCGGGUGUCAGCGGCGGACGGGUGAGUAACGCGUGGGAACGUGCCCUCUGGUUCGGAAUAACUCAGGGAAACUUGGGCUAAUACCGGAUACGCCCUUUUGGGGAAAGGCUUGCUGCCGGAGGAUCGGCCCGCGUCUGAUUAGCUAGUUGGUGAGGUAACGGCUCACCAAGGCGACGAUCAGUAGCUGGUCUGAGAGGAUGAUCAGCCACACUGGGACUGAGACACGGCCCAGACUCCUACGGGAGGUAGCAGUGGGGAAUAUUGGACAAUGGGCGCAAGCCUGAUCCAGCCAUGCCGCGUGAGUGAUCAAGGCCUUAGGGUUGUAAAGCUCUUUUAUCCGGGACGAUAAUGACGGUACCGGAGGAAUAAGCCCCGGCUAACUUCGUG